AUUGAACGCUGGCGGCAGGCCUAACACAUGCAAGUCGAGCGGAUGAAGGGAGCUUGCUCCUGGAUUCAGCGGCGGACGGGUGAGUAAUGCCUAGGAAUCUGCCUGGUAGUGGGGGAUAACGUCCGGAAACGGGCGCUAAUACCGCAUACGUCCUGAGGGAGAAAGUGGGGGAUCUUCGGACCUCACGCUAUCAGAUGAGCCUAGGUCGGAUUAGCUAGUUGGUGGGGUAAAGGCCUACCAAGGCGACGAUCCGUAACUGGUCUGAGAGGAUGAUCAGUCACACUGGAACUGAGACACGGUCCAGACUCCUACGGGAGGCAGCAGUGGGGAAUAUCGGACAAUGGGCGAAAGCCUGAUCCAGCCAUGCCGCGCGUGUGAAGAAGGUCUUCGGAUUGUAAAGCACUUUAAGUUGGGAGGAAGGGCAGUAAGUUAAUACCUUGCUGUUUUGACGUUACCAACAGAAUAAGCACCGGCUAACUUCGUG
rnacentral:rRNA from 1 species